UGUGGCUGUGUGUGUGACGUGUAUGUCUAUCUCAUGUCUGUAUGUUCCUAAUUAAAAAAGUAAAAAUUGAAAUCCUUAACAAGACAGACAAAAGUAGAUGGGCCUCCAAGUCUCGAUUAAGUCAGCAGGGAAAAAGACCUACAUUUGAAAACUUACCACUAAACUUUCAAAUUACUGAGUAAAAUAAAACUAUGUCUUGCCUUCCCCAACAUUCACAUCUACAAUGUGGUGAAGUGUCCUGCCUGGAGAAUACAAUAAUUAUUUCAGCUCCUGUUUCAUACUCUUUUGGUAAUUGUUAACGUAAACUUAAGUCUGAGGUGUAACGUGUGCAUUAAAACCAGAUACCGUUGUGACUGAUCCUAACAUACAAUGUUCUCUAAUGACAAGGCAUUUUCAGUAAAGACCAAACCCUGCUUGCCCCAGGAGAAGGGUGGGUCGGGAAUGUGCCCUGCGUCCUGUUCUGGUCUGGGUCGGCUCCUGCGUUUCUGGAGAAAUGAAUCAGUUUUCAACAAGAAGAUCAAGAGAACGAGACAGAGGAAACCUGUAUCAAGAUGAUGAAAACAAGGCUCCAAGAGCCCUUCUGAGAGAUCCAGCGGCAGCAGCAGGGCCGAGAUGCAUGCCCAGGGCUGUCUGAUUGCAGAAGCCAUGAGCUUGCCUUCAUGCCAGCGUCUCUCAAGAGACUCCGUACCAUUUAAACUGUAGGCUUGACACCCAGCACGAAGCCCAG